rnacentral:rRNA from 1 species
AGUGAACGCUGGCGAUAGGCCUAACACAUGCAAGUCGAACGGCAGCACAGUAAGAGCUUGCUCUUACGGGUGGCGAGUGGCGGGCGGGUGAGGAAUACAUCGGAAUCUACUUUUUCGUGGGGGAUAACGUAGGGAAACUUACGCUAAUACCGCAUACGACCUACGGGUGAAAGCAGGGGAUCUUCGGACCUUGCGCGAUUGAAUGAGCCGAUGUCGGAUUAGCUAGUUGGCGGGGUAAAGGCCCACCAAGGCGACGAUCCGUAGCUGGUCUGAGAGGAUGAUCAGCCACACUGGAACUGAGACACGGUCCAGACUCCUACGGGAGGCAGCAGUGGGGAAUAUUGGACAAUGGGCGCAAGCCUGAUCCAGCGAUACCGCGUGGGUGAAGAAGGCCUUCGGGUUGUAAAGCCCUUUUGUUGGGAAAGAAAAGCAGCAGGUUAAUACCCCGCUGUUCUGACGGUACCCAAAGAAUAAGCACCGGCUAACUUCGUG